rnacentral:rRNA from 1 species
GAUGAACGCUGGCGGCGUGCUUAACACAUGCAAGUCGAACGAAGCUGUUAAAAGGAAGUCUUCGGAUGGAAUUUUAACAGACUUAGUGGCGGACGGGUGAGUAACGCGUGGAUAACCUGCCUUAUACAGGGGGAUAACGGAGAGAAAUUUCCGCUAAGACCGCAUAAGACCACAGCACCGCAUGGUGCAGGGGUAAAAUAUUAAUAGGUAUAAGAUGGAUCCGCGUCCGAUUAGCUGGUUGGUGAGGUAGAGGCUCACCAAGGCGACGAUCGGUAGCCGGCCUGAGAGGGUGAACGGCCACAUUGGGACUGAGACACGGCCCAAACUCCUACGGGAGGCAGCAGUGGGGAAUAUUGGACAAUGGGGGAAACCCUGAUCCAGCGACGCCGCGUGAGUGAAGAAGUAUUUCGGUAUGUAAAGCUCUAUCAGCAGGGAAGAAAAUGACG